ensembl:lncRNA
CUCAACAAUUCAUCCUUCUGAUUUAUUUAAACAGAAAUCAAGUUUAAGUUGGCCACACUGAUUCACUGCACUGAUCAACAGAAAGCUGCUUGAUUGGAAAGUGACUUCUGUGUGAGAAGUGCUUCAUACAACACUACACUAUUAAAAAUAGAAAAUUGAGGGAUUAUUUUUUUUUUUGCACUUUUUUUUGCACAUUUUUUGUGAUCGCAUCUUUAGUCUUUUAAAUGAAUAGUUCACCCUUAAAAUGAAAAUUCUAUUAUCAUGUAUUGACCUGUAUGGCAUUCUUUCUUGUGCAUAACAUAGAAGAAGAUAUAGAAAAAUGCUUUUUUUCAUACAAUGAAAGUGAUUUAUGUUCUGCAGAAGAAAGUACAACAGGUUUGGAAUGACAUGAAGGUGUAAACGAUGGCAGGAUUUUCUUUUUCUUUUUUUUUGCUGAACCAUUCCUUCAACAGUGUCAUCUUAUGGUAGAAGAAAAAGGGACAUGACAAAACAUCUGUCAUGGAAAUCAAACACCUUGCCCACCUUUCUAGUCUGAGGUGUAAGCACAGGAGGACUGGAGGUUUGACAGCAGCAGGAAGCUGUCUGAGAGGGCUUUGCCUCUAGAGCUGUACACUUUGGAGGCGUGACUUUCAGAGAGGAACACAAUGGAGCUGUGGUGAAAAACUUGAAAGAAUCCAGAGCAUGUAAGAGGAGACGAGUACACAUUCCACCCUGCAGCCCUCCACCAUAAGAGUGUGUAUCUGGAAGUGAACUGAGCAGUCUUGGCAGGAUGCUGAGAUAGAUGGACAUCAGUAAUUAUGGAAACCCAUCUCACAGAAGUCUACAGUGAAGAAAAGAGAUGAUGAUGAAUGGACAAGUUACACCAAGUCAAGGCAUUUCCUUUUGGGUCAUUCACAACAGCAGGACUGAAGCACAUAGUGCAUGAAGUGGACCAGUGCUAUUGCAGGUAUGGUAAGAUGACCAAACCGACCAAACGGAGACCAGACCGCGACCCUGAAUGCUGGAUGGAGCUGCUUUUAUGUUGACAUUUCUGCAGGACCAGGUGUGGGAAAAUGAGCAGCCUUGCAGGUGCCUGUAUUUUCAAAACUGUUGUUUGAGAGGAAAUCCGUAAAGAACUGGAGACAGCAGGAAAGUAAUUAAACAUGAUUUCACAGCUUAUUUGUGUUUACAAAGAACUCCUUUUGCUUGUCAUGCUGUUGAAGAGAAUGAAAGGCUAGUUGUGUUGCCUACUGGCUCUUUAGUGACAAUAAGCAGGCAGUAACGAGGGGAUUUUUAAAAAAAAAUGAGCGUUUCCUAAUUUGGUCACUGAAUGAUCGCAAAUGGUGGGCUUGAAAACAGAAGGAGUGUGAUCACACUUACCAGCAAUCAUGAGUUCAAAAGCAACCAAACUCUCUGUUGUUUUAAAGAAAGGACCUUUUCUCAGAUGUUGUGAAAUCCCCAUGAUUGGAAAACCAAAAACACUGUGACCAGGUUUGUGC